UAUAUUUCUAUAUAUAUAUAUAUAUAUAUAUAUAUAUAUAUAUAUAUACUCUUAUGAGUAUAGACCCCCUUAUACUCAUAAAUUUUUAACCGUUGAUUGAUGGGAUGUGUGGUUAGGAUGAUGGUGGUUCUCACUUAGAAUGAUAGUGGUCCCCUAAGGUUGAGUGAGUAGUUGGUUAAAUAGUAUGAUCUAACGGUCAACGGAUGAAAAUGAUUAAUGGAAUAAAUCUAAGGGUCGAAAACUUAUGAGUAUAAAAGAGCCAAUACUCAUAAAAGUAUAGUAACCGGACUAUAUAUAUA
rnacentral:lncRNA from 1 species